rnacentral:rRNA from 1 species
CCAAUAGCGUAUAUUAAAGUUGUUGCAGUUAAAAAGCUCGUAGUUGAAUUUCGAGACCGGUUUAUUGGUCGUGCUUUUGUACGUACUGGUAUUAUUGGUUUCUCCUUUCUGACGAAUCUUAAUGCCAUUAAUUUGGUGUUUUGGGGAAUCAGGACUGUUACUUUGAAAAAAUUAGAGUGUUUAAAGCAGGCUCACGCUUGAAUACAUUAGCAUGGAAUAACGGAAUAGGACGUUUGAUUCUAUUUUGUUGGUUUCUAGGAUCGACGUAAUGAUUAAGAGGGAUAGUUGGGGGCAUUAGUAUUCAAUUGUCAGAGGUGAAAUUCUUGGAUUUAUUGAAGACUAACUACUGCGAAAGCAUUUGCCAAGGAUGUUUUCAUUAAUCAAGAACGAAAGUUAGGGGAUCGAAGACGAUCAGAUACCGUCGUAGUCUUAACCAUAAACUAUGCCGACUAGGGAUCGGAUGAUGUUAAUUUUUUAAUGACUCAUUCGGCGCCUUACG